rnacentral:rRNA from 1 species
UACAGAGGUCCCAAGCGUUGUUCGGAUUCACUGGGCGUAAAGGGUGCGUAGGUGGCUAGGUAAGUCCGAUGUGAAAGCCCCGGGCUUAACCUGGGAAUGGCCGUUGAAACUGGCGAACUGGAGUGUGGCAGAGGGGGGUGGAAUUCCGCGUGUAGCAGUGAAAUGCGUAGAGAUGCGGAGGAACACCGAUGGCGAAGGCAGCCCCCUGGGCUAACACUGACGCUCAGGCACGAAAGCGUGGGGAGCAAACAGG